rnacentral:rRNA from 1 species
AUUGAACGCUGGCGGCAGGCCUAACACAUGCAAGUCGAACGGUAACAGGAAACAGCUUGCUGUUUCGCUGACGAGUGGCGGACGGGUGAGUAAUGUCUGGGAAACUGCCUGAUGGAGGGGGAUAACUACUGGAAACGGUAGCUAAUACCGCAUAACGUCGCAAGACCAAAGAGGGGGACCCUCGGGCCUCUUGCCAUCGGAUGUGCCCAGAUGGGAUUAGCUUGUUGGUGGGGUAACGGCUCACCAAGGCGACUAUCCCUAGCUGGUCUGAGAGGAUGACCAGCCACACUGGAACUGAGACACGGUCCAGACGCCUACGGGAGGCAGCAGUGGGGAAUAUUGCACAAUGGGCGCAAGCCUGAUGCAGCCAUGCCGCGUGUAUGAAGAAGGCCUUCGGGUUGUAAAGUACUUUCAGCGGGGAGGAAGGGAGUAAAGUUAAUACCUUUGCUCAUUGACGUUACCCGCAGAAGAAGCACCGGCUAACUCCGUG